rnacentral:rRNA from 1 species
CACGUAGGGCGCGAGCGUUGUCCGGAAUUAUUGGGCGUAAAGAGCUCGUAGGCGGCCUGUUGCGUCCGCUGUGAAAGCCCGGGGCUUAACCCCGGGUCGCAGUGGAUACGGGCAGGCUAGAGGUAGGUAGGGGAGAAUGGAAUUCCCGGUGUAGCGGUGAAAUGCGCAGAUAUCGGGAGGAACACCGGUGGCGAAGGCGGUUCUCUGGGCCUUACCUGACGCUGAGGAGCGAAAGCAUGGGGAGCGAACAGGG